AGAGAUGCAGAAUUACUAACAUACAGCCUACUGAAAAUAAGAGAAACAAAGCUGUGGGUGUUAACCUUAUGUCAGUCUCUUGGCUGCUGCGUACUCUCUACUUGCAGAAGAAGUUUCAGGCAUGAAUUACCCUCUCAUGGAAAAGAUGCCGUCACCAGCUCUGAUUUGGCAGAUAGACUCUAAGAAUGCUCAAGUGCCUCAUGACAGACCUUUAGCAGCAUAUGUAACGUCUAUUGGGAGCAGUGUUCAAAGAUAUUUGACGUUUACUCUGUGUAAGGGUUGUUGUAUGGUCUGAACUGGGUUUUCAUCAGUCUAAUAAAGCUUUCAGUGGUCUUUUAUUAU